rnacentral:rRNA from 1 species
UACGUAGGGUGCAAGCGUUGUCCGGAAUUAUUGGGCGUAAAGAGCUCGUAGGCGGCUUGUCACGUCGGGUGUGAAAGCCCGGGGCUUAACCCCGGGUCUGCAUUCGAUACGGGCAGACUGGAGUACUGCAGGGGGAGACUGGAAUUCCUGGUGUAGCGGUGGAAUGCGCAGAUAUCAGGAGGAACACCGGUGGCGAAGGCGGGUCUCUGGGCAGUAACUGACGCUGAGGAGCGAAAGCGUGGGGAGCGAACAGG